GGGAGAGUUAAAGCUGGAUGUUUGCCGCCGGUUAGGGAGAGUUAAAGCUGGGUUAUCUGCUGCGGCGGUAGAGAGAGGAAAGGAACAGGCCGAGCGACGGUGAGAGUGGGUAAUAGCUGGGGUCGCUGACGGUGGGGGAUGAUUUGAGAAGAGAGGAGAAAGGCGGCAUUUUUAGAGAACAAGGGAAAGUACCGCCGGCAUAGAGAGAAGAAAGAAAGGUGAAAAGUGAGGAGAGAAAAAUAAGAAAAGGAAGUCCAUCUCCCCUAAGCCGUACGGCGUCGUUUGGUGCUCCAGAG
rnacentral:lncRNA from 1 species